AUGAACGCUGGCGGCGUGCCUCAUACAUGCAAGUCGAGCGAACAGACGAGGAGCUUGCUCCUUCGACGUUAGCGGCGGACGGGUGAGUAACACGUAGGUAACCUACCUAUAAGACUGGGAUAACUUCGGGAAACCGGAGCUAAUACCGGAUAAUAUUUCGAACCGCAUGGUUCGAUAGUGAAAGAUGGCUUUGCUAUCACUUAUAGAUGGACCUGCGCCGUAUUAGCUAGUUGGUAAGGUAACGGCUUACCAAGGCAACGAUACGUAGCCGACCUGAGAGGGUGAUCGGCCACACUGGAACUGAGACACGGUCCAGACUCCUACGGGAGGCAGCAGUAGGGAAUCUUCCGCAAUGGGCGAAAGCCUGACGGAGCAACGCCGCGUGAGUGAUGAAGGUCUUCGGAUCGUAAAACUCUGUUAUUAGGGAAGAACAAACGUGUAAGUAACUGUGCACGUCUUGACGGUACCUAAUCAGAAAGCCACGGCUAACUACGUG
rnacentral:rRNA from 1 species